CGGAGACAAAUUGCAGGCGUUAUGAACCGGAGCAAGGACUAAGCACGCCUCAUAAUGAGGCGGUGACCUCCUAUUUGCUCUGAGCAAUAACUGCAAGUCCAAUUUACACGAUGUUGAUAAAGACGACAUUGUGUCCGCUUGUAAGACGUAUUAUGAGAUGGUACGCAGGAGCUGAAGCUGCCAAGAGUUCAGCUCGGAGUCGAGCUAGAAGAAAGAGGCUGCUGGAAUCGAGGCAGAGUGUGCAGGCGGAUGUGGAAGUGGAACUCUGGAAGUCCGCCACCAUCGACCUCAUGUCUGGCGAAGAAGAUGGCGUCGUUGGCGGAGUCUCCGGAUGGAUUGUACCAUAGACAUAAUAUAUAUGUCUAUGGAUUGUACGGCCGCCGUCUUUUCGUAGGGUUGUGCGCAAUUCUGUUCCCCCGUGAAAAUCUGUU